CCUACGGGGGGCAGCAGUAGGGAAUAUUGCUCAAUGGGGGAAAGCCUGAAGCAGCAACGCCGCGUGGAGGAUGAAGGUUUUAGGAUUGUAAACUCCUUUUGUGAGAGAAGAUAAUGACGGUAUCUAACGAAUAAGCACCGGCUAACUCCGUGCCAGCAGCCGCGGUAAUACGGAGGGUGCAAGCGUUACUCGGAAUCACUGGGCGGAAAGAGUGCGCAGGCGGGCUUGUAAGUAAGAUGUGAAAUCCUGUAGCUUAACUACAGAACUGCAUUUGAUACUAGCAGUCUAGAGUGUGGGAGAGGUAGGUGGAAUUCUAUGUGUAGGGGUAAAAUGCGUAGAUAUCAAGAGGAAUACUCAUUGCGAAGGCGACCUACUGGAACAUUACUGACGCUGAGGGACGAAAGCGUGGGGAGCAAACAGGAUUAGAUACCCGAGUAGUC
rnacentral:rRNA from 1 species